rnacentral:rRNA from 1 species
GUGCACGCUGGCGGUAGGCCUAACACAUGCAAGUCGCACGGCAGCACAGUAAGAGCUUGCUCUUACGGGUGGCGAGUGGCGGACGGGUGAGGAAUACAUCGGAAUCUACUUUUUCGUGGGGGAUAACGUAGGGAAACUUACGCUAAUACCGCAUACGACCUACGGGUGAAAGCAGGGGAUCUUCGGACCUUGCGCGAUUGAAUGAGCCGAUGUCGGAUUAGCUAGUUGGCGGGGUAAAGGCCCACCAAGGCGACGAUCCGUAGCUGGUCUGAGAGGAUGAUCAGCCACACUGGAACUGAGACACGGUCCAGACUCCUACGGGAGGCAGCAGUGGGGAAUAUUGGACAAUGGGCGCAAGCCUGAUCCAGCCAUACCGCGUGGGUGAAGAAGGCCUUCAGGUUGUAAAGCCCUUUUGUUGGGAAAGAAAAGCAGCAGGUUAAUACCCCGCUGUUCUGACGGUACCCAAAGAAUAAGCACCGGCUAACUUCGUG